ncrna:unclassified sequences RAGATH-18 RNA
ACUGUGAAGUAUUAUACCAAAUGUAAGUAGCUUUGAAGUUAUUCAUUGCCAAAACAGAUACGUUGAAACAGUAA